rnacentral:rRNA from 1 species
UACGGGGGGGGCAAGCGUUGUUCGGAAUUACUGGGCGUAAAGGGCGCGUAGGCGGCUCGCUAAGUCGGAUGUGAAAACUCUGGGCUCAACCCAGAGCCUGCAUUCGAAACUGACGAGCUCGAGUUCUGGAGGGGAAAGCGGAAUUCCUGGUGUAGCGGUGAAAUGCGUAGAUAUCUGGAGGAACACCGGUGGCGAAGGCGCAUCCUGGACCGGCAUUGACGCUGAGGAGCGAAAGCCAGGGGAGCAAACGGG